UUAACUCAAAUGGGUAUGGAGCUGGAACGUUUGCCUACGUUUGCCGCUAGGGGCGCUGUUCCAACUGCAUACAAAUUUGUGUUA
rfam:Bombyx mori DNA, contig: Bm_scaf46_contig25054, strain: p50T/Dazao, build 2, whole genome shotgun sequence.